rnacentral:rRNA from 1 species
UGGGGGAUAUUGCACAAUGGGCGAAAGCCUGAUGCAGCGACGCCGCGUGGGGGAUGAAGGCCUUCGGGUUGUAAACUUCUUUUGCUCUGAACAAGGCAUGCUAAUGGGUGUGUUGAGUGUAGGGGUUGAUUAGCGCCGGCUAACUACGUGCCAGCAGCCGCGGUAAUACGUAGGGCGCGAGCGUUGUCCGGAAUUAUUGGGCGUAAAGGGCUUGUAGGUGGCUGGUUGCGUCUGUCGUGAAAGCUCAUGGCUUAACUGUGGGUUUGCGGUGGGUACGGGCUGGCUUGAGUGCAGUAGGGGAGGCUGGAAUUCCUGGUGUAGCGGUGGAAUGCGCAGAUAUCAGGAAGAAUACCGGUGGCGAAGGCGGGUCUCUGGGCUGUUACUGACACUGAGGAGCGAAAGCAUGGGGAGCGAACAGG